GGUCAGGGUUAAUAUAUAACUGAUAUGUCACUGUGUUAGUUAGGGGUUAAAGGUCAGGGUUAAUAUAUAACUGAUAUGUCACUGUGUUAGUUAGGGGUUAAAGGUCAGGGUUAAUAUAUAACUGAUAUGUCACUGUGUUAGUUAGGGGUUAAAGGUCAGGGUUAAUAUAUAACUGAUAUGUCACUGUGUUAGUUAGGGGUUAAAGGUCAGG